rnacentral:rRNA from 1 species
GACGUAGGGCGCGAGCGUUGUCCGGAUUUAUUGGGCGUAAAGAGCUCGUAGGCGGCUUGUUGCGUCAGCUGUGAAAACCCGCAGCUCAACUGUGGGCUUGCAGCUGAUACGGGCAGGCUUGAGUUCGGUAGGGGAGACUGGAAUUCCUGGUGUAGCGGUGAAAUGCGCAGAUAUCAGGAAGAACACCAAUGGCGAAAGCAGCUUUCUGGGACGGUACUGACGCUGAGACGCGAAAGCGUGGGGAGCGAACAGG